rnacentral:rRNA from 1 species
UACCAGCACCCCGAGUGGUCGGGACGUUUAUUGGGCCUAAAGCAUCCGUAGCCGGUUCUACAAGUCUUCCGUUAAAUCCACCUGCUUAACAGAUGGGGUGCGGAAGAUACUAUAGAGCUAGGAGGCGGGAGAGGCAAGCGGUACUCGAUGGGUAGGGGUAAAAUCCGUUGAUCCAUUGAAGACCACCAGUGGCGAAGGCGGCUUGCCAGAACGCGCUCGACGGUGAGGGAUGAAAGCUGGGGGAGCAAACCGG